UUUAUCAAAAACAUCGCUUAAAUUUUAAGUAUAGCCUGCUCAGUGAAAAAUUUUUAACAGCCAAUUUAUGCUAAGGUAGCAUAAUAAUUUGCUUUAUAAUUGAAAGAUAGAAUGAAAGGUUUUUCUAAAAAAAAUUAUUUUAAUAAUAAAUUGAAUUUUUUUUCUAAUGAAAAUUUUAGAAUAAUUUUUUUAGACGAUAAGACCCUAUGAAGCUUUAUCGGUUUAGCGAUUUUUUUGGGGCAAAAUUUAAUUUUUUUAUUAAUUAUCAGAAAAAUUUUGAUCUUAGUUAAUUAUAAGAAAAAGCUACUCUAGGGAUAACAGCAUAAUUUUAAAAAAAGUUCUUAUUAAGCUUAAAGUUUGUGACCUCGAUGUUGA
rnacentral:rRNA from 1 species